rnacentral:rRNA from 1 species
GAUAAACGCUGGCGGCGUGCAUGAGACAUGCAAGUCGAACGAACGACCCGGGCUUGCCUGGGAAGUUAGUGGCGAACGGCUGAGUAACGCGUAGGUGACCUGCCCGGAAGUGGGGAAUAACUGCCCGAAAGGGUGGCUAAUACCGCAUGUGGCCACACGUUCAUUCGUGUGACCAAAGCCGCAAGGCGCUUCCGGAGGGGCCUGCGUUCGAUUAGCUCGUUGGUGGGGUAACGGCUCACCAAGGCGACGAUCGAUAGGUGGUCUGAGAGGAUGAUCACCCAGACUGGGACUGAGACACGGCCCAGACUCCUACGGGAGGCAGCAGUCGGGAAUUUUGCUCAAUGGGCGAAAGCCUGAAGCAGCAACGCCGCGUGAGGGAUGAAGGCCUUCGGGUUGUAAACCUCUUUUCUCAGGGACGAUGAUGACGGUACCUGAGGAAUAAGCCACGGCUAACUACGUGCCAGCCGCCGCCGUAACAC